UGGGGAAUUUUGGACAAUGGGGGAAACCCCGAUCCAGCCAUCCCGCGUGUGCGAUGAAGGCCCUCGGGUUGUAAAGCACUUUUGGCAGGAAAGAAAAGUCAUGGGUUAAUACCCCGUGAAACUGACGGGACCUGCAGAAUAAGCACCGGCUAACUACGUGCCAGCAGCCGCGGUAAUACGUAGGGUGCAAGCGUUAAUCGGAAUUACUGGGCGGAAAGCGUGCGCAGGCGGUUCGGAAAGAAAGAUGUGAAAUCCCAGAGCUCAACUUUGGAACUGCAUUUUUAACUACCGGGCUAGAGUGUGUCAGAGGGAGGUGGAAUUCCGCGUGUAGCAGUGAAAUGCGUAGAUAUGCGGAGGAACACCGAUGGCGAAGGCAGCCUCCUGGGAUAACACUGACGCUCAUGCACGAAAGCGUGGGGAGCAAACAGG
rnacentral:rRNA from 1 species